CCGUGACGGGGCGACGCCGCGUGCAGGAUGAAGGCCUUCGGGUUGUAAACUGCUGUUACACUUACCAACGCUCGGAAGUUAAUAGCUCUCCGAGACGAGCAAGGUGGGAGAAAGCACAGGCUAACUCCGUGCCAGCAGCCGCGGUAAUACGGAGUGUGCAAGCGUUACUCGGAAGUCACUGGGCAUAAAGCGCGCGUAGGCCGGACCUCAAGUCGGUUGUGAAAUCCCUCAGCUCAACUGAGGAGCUGCAGCCGAUACUGCGGUCCUUGAGGACAAAAGGGGAGAGCGGAACUUCUGGUGAAGCGGUGAAAUGCGUAGAUAUCAGAAGGAACGCCGGUGGCGAAAGCGGCUCUCUGGUUUGUUUCUGACGCUGAGGCGCGAAAGCUUGGGUAGCAAACGGGAUUAGAUACCCCGGUAGUCCAAGCCGUAAACGAUGAGUACUAGGUAGAGGAGGCCUCGUCGCCUUCUCUGCUGGAGCAAAUGUAUUAAGUACUCCGCC
rnacentral:rRNA from 1 species